rnacentral:rRNA from 1 species
CCUACGGGUGGCAGCAGUGGGGAAUAUUGGACAAUGGGGGCAACCCUGAUCCAGCCAUGCCGCGUGUGUGAAGAAGGCCCUCGGGUUGUAAAGCACUUUCAGUGAGGAAGAACGCCUGGUGGUUAAUACCCAUCAGGAAAGACAUCACUCACAGAAGAAGCACCGGCUAACUCCGUGUCAGCAGCCGCGGUAAUACGGAGGGUGCGAGCGUUAAUCGGAAUUACUGGGCGUAAAGCGCGCGUAGGUGGCUUGAUAAGCCGGUUGUGAAAGCCCCGGGCUCAACCUGGGAACGGCAUCCGGAACUGUCAAGCUAGAGUGCAGGAGAGGAAGGUAGAAUUCCCGGUGUAGCGGUGAAAUGCGUAGAGAUCGGGAGGAAUACCAGUGGCGAAGGCGGCCUUCUGGACUGACACUGACACUGAGGUGCGAAAGCGUGGGUAGCAAACAGGAUUAGAUACCCCAGUAGUC